rnacentral:rRNA from 1 species
CUCAACACGGGGAAACUCWCCAGGUCCAGACACAAUAAGGAUUGACAGAUUGAGAGCUCUUUCUUGAUUUUGUGGGUGGUGGUGCAUGGCCGUUCUUAGUUGGUGGAGUGAUUUGUCUGCUUAAUUGCGAUAACGAACGAGACCUUAACCUACUAAAUAGUGCUGCUAGCUUUUGCUGGUAUAGUCACUUCUUAGAGGGACUAUCGAUUUCAAGUCGAUGGAAGUUUGAGGCAAUAACAGGUCUGUGAUGCCCUUAGACGUUCUGGGCCGCACGCGCGCUACACURACGGAGCCAGCGAGUAUUAACCUUGGCCGAGAGGUCUGGGAAAUCU